ensembl:lncRNA
ACCUCCUUUUCUUUGUUCUGAAACUGUUUCCGACUAGAUUUUCUUGUACACUGGGAUCAGUUAACCUACCUGACUUCUUCAGGGCUGCUCACAAUUCUGGUUGGCCGCCUUCCACCUAAAGUUUUCAUCAUCCCUUCGGUCUCCUUCCCAUCCCUGAUGGUUCCAGAAAGGUACGCAGUCAUGGAAAACGCCCAGGAACCCAUUGAAGUCAUCCCGUGUGCACAGCACAGAGCCCCUUCUUCCCUGCUGGCAGCUCCUGCCCUGCUCGUGGGAGCAGAACACAGAUGUGGGUCCUUCCACAACAUAUCUGCAUGCAUUGUCCCCAUCUUCAUGCUCUACGGAGGACAGUGUGGUUGGGCAGGGUUGUGCUCAGCUCAAAGCCCUCUGCUCUCCAAGCAGCUCUGCACCACAGAUGAAGAUUUCACCUUUGUCAUAGAGACAUGAAGAUCCAGCAGAUGUUCUCUGCAGGUUUCCAUGCCCUGAAGAUUAUUCUGUCCUGUAGAACACAAUACAUACACAUCUGACUGUUGUCCAUAGGAGCAAUAAAACACGCAUCUAGCCAGACUGUCACACUUCCCAACCAUGAAGCUAUCAGAGCCAUUCAACACACACACACACAAAAACUUCAAGAGCUUUCAGACGUUAGCAUAGCAACAUAUUUCCCUUAAUUGUGUCCAAAGAGACAAUCAACCUAUUUGAGUUUCAGUUUCCAAAGAAUAUAUGUACUGAAAGCAUCAAUCUGAGGCAGGAACUCAGCUUGGAAAGUUUCUGACAAAAUGCUCGGGACCUGGCAAGGCUUUAAGAAAUGCAGAACGAUGUUUUAAAGCAGAGUUGUCAGGCAACCUGAAGCGUAAAGCAGCUCUGCCAGCUCCCCUUAUAAUAAAAAUAAAUGAUCAUUUGUUGCUUUCUGAAUUCUAAUAUGCAGAUGAGCGAACACAUUAUAUAAUGUCCUAUGUCCCAAACUCCAUCUUCAUUUAAAUUUUAAAGUCACAAUAAUAUGUUGCAUAAAUAUAAGGGGAAAAAUAAUUACUGAUGAUAGCACCGUUCUGAAAAGUUUUCAAGCAUGCAAAAAGCACAGAAAUGGUUAUUUUGACAUUGAUCAGCGCACAGACAGGCUCCGAGUAUAUUGGAGCUGUGACAGACGUAGGAUCAUUAUCACCAGUAGGAACUUUCACCUAGCUUGGAAUUAUUUCCUAAUAAUUCGAGGGGAGAAGAAAAAAUCUUUGGGUUUUUUUUUUCAGUUUCAGAGACAUUAAAAUUCUUCACAAUGCAUUUGCAACACAUCUCUGGGCAUCU